AUUGUACUGUGGCUGGGCUGAACUCAAACCACAAGAUACAGUCCUUCCUACUCUUCCUUCCCCUUUUUGAAGGUGGAGGAGCCUUACCUUGUGUCCACUGCCACCACAGGUCCCCUGGAAGUCCUGCCAGACUACUGCCUAUGUUCCCUUAAAGCCCAAGGAUUCUUAGUCAACUUGUGAAUUCUGCCUGGCCUGGGAUAAACUCUUCAGAGCAGUGGGCUUCCCUUUGGCCCAGGGCAGAUCCAUAAAUGCUGUUUAAGAGCCAAGUUCUGGAACUGGGGACUCCAGGAGACUGCUUGAUGUUUUAUUCUUCUGUGGCCGAACUGGUACCUAAAGUUGUUUUUAGAAGAAGCAUCUCAACAGGAAAAACUGGCCAAAGAAUGGUGCUUCAAGCCAUGUGAAAUAAGAGAACUGAGCCACCAGAUUAGAAGAAGGCUUGGAAGCAGUUGAAGUAGAGGCUGAGAUGGGAUGAGAGAAUGGUGGAAACGGUUGGAGGAUGGGGAGGAGGGUAAACAUAACUUGAGUUCUUCAUGCCUGGGCUGGUUGAUACACACAUCCAUGCCUCUCAGUAUUCCUUUGCUGGAAGUAGCAUAGACCUGUCACUCUUGGAGUGGCUGACCAAGUACACAUUUCCUGCAGAACACAGAUUCCAGAACAUCGACUUUGCAGAAGAAGUAUAUACCAGAGUUGUUAGGAGAACACUAAAGAAUGGAACAACCACAGCUUGUUACUUUGCAACAAUUCACACUGACUCAUCUCUGCUCCUUGCCGACAUUACAGAUAAAUUUGGACAGCGGGCAUUUGUGGGCAAAGUUUGCAUGGAUUUGAAUGACACUUUUCCAGAAUACAAGGAGACCACUGAGGAAUCGAUCAAGGAAACUGAGAGAUUUGUGUCAGAAAUGCUCCAAAAGAACUAUUCUAGAGUGAAGCCCAUAGUGACACCACGUUUUUCCCUCUCCUGCUCUGAGACUUUGAUGGGUGAACUGGGCAACAUUGCUAAAACCCGUGAUUUGCACAUUCAGAGCCAUGUAAGUGAAAAUCGUGAUGAAGUUGAAGCUGUGAAAAACUUAUACCCCAGUUAUAAAAACUACACAUCUGUGUAUGAUAAAAACAAUCUUUUGACAAAUAAGACAGUGAUGGCACACGGCUGCUACCUCUCUGCAGAAGAACUGAACGUAUUCCAUGAACGAGGAGCAUCCAUCGCACACUGUCCCAAUUCUAAUUUAUCGUAAGUAGACAAUGAUUGUUUGGUAGAUUACGAAUGAUUGGGUUGCAGAUUAGCAGCCAAAUGCCUUUGUUUCCUCUGUCAUUCCUCCAGGAUCUCUCCUGUAUUCUGUGUUUGGCAGGACCCAGAUAGAUAGACAUUUACUCGUGCUGUAGAGGAGUAAAAGAGAACACGUAAGAGGACAUUUAUCUCAGAGGACACAUGUGAAGAGCACAGCAUCUUCUGAAAUCUCUGAGUUUGUACAAAGAAAGGACAAUAGGGAAUACAACAUAAAAAAAAUUACAGUGAAAGUACUGAAAGAACCCAUAUGUCAGCCAGGAAAUCCAGAAGAGGGUAGUCACUCCCAUUACUGUUUGUGCUGUAGUGUGAGAAGGAAACACAGCAAUACCAAAGCAAAUGCACUAUGAUGUAUGUUACCCUGUUGGACCUGACAGAAUGCCAGCCCACACAGGCAAGCCCAGGAGGACCUUGUCCUAUUAUAAUUCCCCAGAAUACAGAGGUGUUAUUUAUUAACUGGUUCUUAACCUUUUGAAAGGUGAUGGAUCCGUAAGUGAAUAAAAUGAAAGUUAUUGCCUGGGCGCAGUGGCUCACAUCUGUAAUCCCAGCACUUUGGGAAGCGGAAGCAGGCAGAUCACUUGAGGUCAGGAGUUCGAGACCACCCUGACCAACAUGGUGAAACCCCAUCAGUAUUAAACAUAUAAAAAUUAGCUGGGCAUGGUGGUGGGCACCUGUAAUCCCAACCACUCAGGAGGCUGAGGCAAGAGAAUCGUUUGAACCCGGGAGGCGGAGGUUGCAGUGAGCCAAGAUUGCACCACUGCACUCCAGCCUGGGUGACAGAGUGAGACUCUGUCUCAGAAAAAUAAAUAAGUUAUAGCCUGUAAUUUCAGGGGAAAAAAGCCCAUGGAUAUUACAAGUGUUGCAUCUAAUUUCAGGGAAUUCAUAGAUCUCAUGAUGCCAGUCCAUGGAUGCUAGGUUAAAAACCCAUGCUUGUGGCUGUAAUCUCAGAAAACAACUUCAGGGGCCGGGCGCGGUGGCUCACACCUCUAAUCCCAGCACUUUGGGAGGCCAAGGUGGGUGGAUCACGAGGUCAGGAGAUCGAGACCAUCCCGGCUAACACGGUGAAACCCAGUCUCUACU
rnacentral:sRNA from 1 species